GGCCAGUGCCCACCUCUCUGCCCCUCACUUUCCAGCUCCAACCACUGUCUGACUGGGUUCCAGCAGGAAGUUCUUCUGCUGGUCUCACUAGAGUUGUCUGCCACCGCUGUCAGUAGCUUGCUGAGGCUGCGGACAUCUGAAGGCUUGACAGGGAGCGCUGGGGUGGCUGGCCUCUCUCCCUCUCUUUACAGUCUCGGGGCCUUUCCAUGCAGCAUCCUUUGCCUUCCUCAUAGGGUGGCGGUGUCAGAUGGCAGUUGAACUUUUCACAUGGCAGUUAUCUUUCCCCCAGAGUGGGAGUUCCAAGAGAAUAAGAUAGAAGUUGCAAGGCAUCUUAUGACUGAGGCUUAAAAGGUGACACGGAGGCUUGGAGACCUCUGAAAUGCCUACAGAAGACAGUCAUCUGAGGCUGGAGUCACUGUUGUGUUUUUGGAGAUGAGGAAGCCAGAACACAACUCACCAAAGAUCACACAUCUCAUAAACACUGGAGCCAAAGAUAGAGCCCACGGCUUUCUGGCCCCACCUCCACGCUACGGAUUGUAUGGUUUUUUAUAAGCUCCUCACCAGCAAGCUGUUGCCAGAGCGUUUCUAAAUGAAGAAGAAAAGGACUUAACAGCUGGCCGUAGCCCCCUGAGUUCCAGAUGUAAGUCUGGCCACAAGUAUAGUAACGGCUUCCGAAAAGUCAUCUGGCUUCUAAAAAGUGACUGGCUUUAUGCUGCAGUCACUCCAACCCAGAGCUAAAAACUCUUUUAUAUCAGCUCCCUUUAGGAAAAGAGAUCUCUCAAUUCUACUAUUUAAGAAUUCUCAACCGUGUCCAGUCGGAAAACUCAGCAAGUGCUACUUCUCUAUCCUUUCUACUGGACUCCUUUUGCAUGGACUUUCCCAGCCUGUUAAAUAAAAAGCAAAGCUUGGAAGGGCCAGAGGUUCUCAGCCAGCAGCGAACUGCACCUGGCUGCAGGGUCUCUAUCGUCAGGGAUCCAUGCAGGUCACAUCUCAGCGACGCCACGUCCUGGUCCAGUGUAGUGUUCAGAUUCAGAAGGAGGCAGAAAUCUCCAAGCCCCACGGAGCGCAAUCACUCCUGGUGGCUUCACGGUACCUUAUGUGUCACUCGGUGUCCAGCGAGGGGAGAGAAACUCCUUCGAGAUCAUUUCACACUAACAGAGAUCAUUUAACAAAGAACCGUCAGCUGGACGGUUGUAGCUGGGGGUGGAGAUGACUUAAAGUUAGAGGCUCCGGGAAGAGGCUGCGCAAAGCUGGCACCUGGUGGUCUGAGGAGGUGCUGGCAUCGCCAGCUGGUGGGGAGAUGCAGCUGGGCCUGGGAGAGCCCAGCCCCACCACCAACCUGAUUCCACUGCUCCCAUUCCAAUGAAGCUGCUGUGUGAGCAGAGCCUGAGCCAGGCGACAGGAGCAGGAGGCAAACCCCAAGGGAUCAGCAACCCCCUCCACCUCCCGAGCUCGCCUUCCCCUCCUUGGGAGCCCCAGAUUGGCAGAGUCUAUCCCAACAGUGGCUGGCCGAGCGAUAGUGUGACGUGCAGAGUCCCAGCCCCGGUGUCAUAAAAUAUUAUGCAAGUGGGCUUGAGAGAAAUGGAUCAAGACGCAAUAGCUUAAUAUCUGGUGCAUUUGGUGAGACUUUGAAAAUACAGUUGACCUCAGAAUCCCACCUCCCUCCCCCCUCCAAAUCACAGCACUAAAAGACACUCAUUCGGGAAAAUGUUUUUCAUUUAACCACUUGCUUUUUACAUUAAGCCAUUGCCUUGGUACUGGAAGGGGGAAAAAAGUGUUACAUUAUUAUUGGAAACCCUGCAUUGAAGUAAUGCAAAUCUGUCUUCAAGUUCAUUUAACAAAGUGACAUUUAAAUUACUAAGAAGAAUGGAAUAAACUCUAUGUUAUUUGCACUCUCCCAAUACACUGGGAUGAAAUUGUCCUGGGAUCAGCAACUGAUUAAGCUGAUUAUAUACCUCAUACAUGUAGGAUGUGGUUUUCAACCGGCCACAAUCAAAAUACAAUUUACUUCUGUUAGUAUAAUAAUGUAGAUGCUAUAAAAGGCAUCUUUUGGUAAGUGGUUUUCAUUUACAUUUCUCCUACUAUUAGCAGGGUAUUUUCACAGCCUCGCUCUGACUUCUCCCUGCUUCAACCCCAGAUUCUUACUGUGGAAUCUUUUGGUCCUCUCUGGGUCAGCACUGUGAGGGAACCCUGAGGCAUGAUGGGAAUGGAGCUGGGCCACACAGUGGGAAUCACACACACACACACACACACACACCAUGCCAGCCUGGCAAGUGUGAUCAAAGGUGGGUGGCUCCUGAAAAGGUGUUAGGGAGAAAGCUGUGGGCCUGAAGAGCAGCUAAAACAGUGCCACGUUGAAAUGGAUCUACCAACCACAGGCAUUGUCUGGGUGCAUCUGUUCUAAAAGGAACAUGGGCAUGAGGGCAGUGAUGCCCAUGGGCAAUGGCUCAUCCAAAAGGAAGUCAACUGUCUCGUCUCACUCACCACUCAAUGCCUGGCCCAGUGCCUGCUGUUUCUCCUCUGCUCAGCAUGUUGGUGGUGGGUGUCUGCAUACGUCCUCAGAUCACAGGAGAUCUGCAGGGCAAGGUAAAGGUGUAGACGGCUCUUCUCACUUGCUUCUAGUCCGCCAUGCGGGAACACACGCACCCCCAAGCCAUCUGUCUGUGUACAUUGCCACGACCCAGUCGUGUGUCAUUACACUUGCUUAUUGCAUCAUCAUCCUGUUCUCAUCCCCUUCCAGUUAUUCUCAAUAAUGCACCCAGAGUGAGCUUUUGAAAGCUCUAGUUGGAUCGUGCCCUUCUCUUAUUUAAAAGCCUUCAAAAGUUUCCAUUUCAUCUAGACUGAAAUAAAAAAUUUUUAGCAGAACUUCCAAGGCCCCGCAUGAUCUCAUCGCUGCUAAACCUGAUGACUUUAUUUGGUGCCAUCCUCCUGCCUGUUCAGUCGGCUCUAGCUGUGUGCCUCUUGCUCCUCCCCCUUCCCAGCUUUCCAAAAUGUUCUUUCUCCCAUGGUUUGCACAUAUGACUCUUACACAUUUUUUAUCCCUGAGCUCAUAAGUCACUUCCCCAGAAAAGCUUCCCUCGUUCCACCUUUUACCCAAUUUAGAGAAGAUCUCCCCCAUUGUUCAUUUCCUUCCAGAUCUUAAUUAUAACUCGUAAUCCAAAAGCAUGUAUCUAGCGAAUAUCCUGUUUCCCACUAGAUGGUAGGUCUCAGCAAGGUAAAGACCUUGUCUUUUUCUUUUUUUAAAUUAAUGAUUGUUUCCCUGGUGUCUAACCCAGGACCCAGCAUGCAACAGGUGCUCAAUAAAUGCUUACAGAACAAACUAUUGCUGUAAUGACCUAUAGCCUGACUUUGCUGUCCUCGAGAGUCUUGUCAUCCACUAAUGUGGAGAAGGCCGAGUUUGGAUGGACUCUGGCCGCAUCUUGUCGGUGUCUUUUCAAACCACUUGCCCUCUCAGGCAUUCCUAAUGCCAUCCUCGUCUCAUUGGCAGCUGGCUGCUGACAUCCAAAAUCAGACUAAUUUAUUCUCUGAGCUUAAGCGGAGCCUACACGAAGCACCCAGCCUACCUUUUCACAUGAAAAAAUUGAUGAAGGUGAUCCUCCAAGUUAAGAGCUGACUCUUCUGGCCUCCAUCCAUUAUCAGCUCCAGGAGAACCCCCACACUGAGGCUGUCCUCCAGUGGAGCUUCUCUAAUACUGAUGUCUGUAAGUAAAAGGGAGACUGGUUAUUGUUUUGGGAUUUUUUAUUUUUUUAAAGAUCUUUCCCUUUCUCAAUCCCCAGAGCAACCUCUUGAAGUCAUGAAAAAAUUUUUACUUCCCAUUACACAUAUGCUCGAUGGGUGGUGUCUAGUCAGCUAGAUGCUGGUCAGAGGACAGGGAUUUUGUCUGUGACCUGAGAAAAGCUCAGCCCAUUUGAAGGUGGAGUCUAGGUUCACUCAUUCAAGGCGCCAGGCACAAUGCUGAUGAACCACACAGACCUGACCACUGCCACAUGCGCCAUGUGUUCUAGUGGAUGAUGGCGUGAAAAGAGAAGCUUCCCUCUCUUGGGGACCUGAUAAAAAUGAAAAUUCUGGGUUUCAGCAAGGAACUGAUCUCAUUGUCAAAAUUCCCUAAAACAUGCCAA